GCUCAGGACGAACGCUGGCGGCGUGCUUAACACAUGCAAGUCGAGCGGAAAGGCCCUUCGGGGUACUCGAGCGGCGAACGGGUGAGUAACACGUGAGUAAUCUGCCCUCCACUUUGGGAUAGCCACCGGAAACGGUGAUUAAUACCGGAUAUGACCUGUGCCCGCAUGGGUGUUGGUGGAAAGUUUUUCGGUGGGGGAUGUGCUCGCGGCCUAUCAGCUUGAUGGUGGGGUAAUGGCCUACCAUGGCUUCGACGGGUAGCCGGCCUGAGAGGGUGACCGGCCACACUGGGACUGAGACACGGCCCAGACUCCUACGGGAGGCAGCAGUGGGGAAUAUUGGACAAUGGGCGGAAGCCUGAUCCAGCAACGCCGCGUGAGGGAUGACGGCCUUCGGGUUGUAAACCUCUUUCGGUGGGGACGAAGCGAAAGUGA
rnacentral:rRNA from 1 species